rnacentral:rRNA from 1 species
AGGCUCUAAGACAGGUGUUGCACGGCUGUCGUCAGCUCGUGUCGUGAGAUGUGCCCUUAAGUGGGUAAACGAGCGAAACCUGUGUCCUGUGUUGAUUUUUCACGGGAGACUGCCCCGGUUUACGGGGAGGAAGGCGCAGACGACGUCAAGUCAGCGUGGCUCUUACACCCUGGGCUACACACGUGCUACAAUGGCAGAUCAUAAAGAGUUGCAAAGCCGCAAGGCCAAGCUAAUCUCAUAAAAGCUGCCUCAGUUCGGAUUGAGGGCUGAAAUUCGCCCUCAUGAAGCUGGAAUCGCUAGUAAUCGUGGGUCAGCUAUACCACGGUGAAUACGUUCUCGAGUCUU